rnacentral:lncRNA from 1 species
AGGCAGCACAUGUAUCAGUCCAGUGUUGAAAACACAACGAAUAUCCUCCUCAUCAAGUGGAACCGGCUCCCUAGGAGCACUCUCAUGAGGUGGAGGAGGAACCGUAAUGUUCUCAACAUAGACAUCAGUUGAGUAUACAUCACAAGCAAUAUCAGAGUCAGAUGCAGAAGUAGAGUCAUAGACACAGGCAAAAUAAGCAUUACUCACAUAACCAAAAUAGGUAGACAUGGGAAAGAAGGGAAAAAGAAGAAUGCAAUGAAAAUA